GUACAACAGCGCAGUUUUUAUUCUUCUUUACAUGAGAAAAGUUUCCAUUUUCCCUCAAAACAAAUGAAGUGAAGCCACAGAACAGAGAGCAGCGACUCAAAAACAUCUCAGAGAUUAAAAAUCAACCUUCAGUUGUGUUUCUCUGCACAUUUUAAAUGUUUCUUUAGUUUAAAUAUCCUAAAACUUGAUUUGUCUGAAAGCUAAUAGAUAAAUAAAAAUCAAUGAUUUAAUGUUGCCCAUUUGAAACCCGCAUAAAGCUUUGAUCACAUUUCAACCUGUAAUGUGUAAUGUAAUGGGGAAAUAACAUUUACAGAAAUUAGAAAUGAAUCUUCCCGCCCUCCUCGUCUCUCUGCACACCUGAGACCUGUCAGCUGAUCAGGACUCACCUGCUGCAGCAGAAAUACUAGUUCUCUGACUGAUCGUCAAGAGAGAAUUUAGUGCAAAUUUUAGCCACAUUUUAAAGGAUUUUUGGUCCAAAGACAACACUAAUGGACACCUGUGUCCACCACUGUUUGGGGAUGUAGGUGUCUCUGAAGGUGCCUUUGACAAACCGGAGCACCAGCGAGCUCUUCCCCACGCCGCCGGCUCCGAACACCACCACCCGGUAGUCGUUACUCUGCUCGGGCAUUCUGGGAGUUGAAGUCCACCUGCUGCUCUGGAAAGCUGAUCUCCGUGACAUUUAAAUCUUCAGCGGCUGAAGCAUCCGGUGGGCGCCUCGUCCUCUCUGAACUCUGCGAGUGUAUUCACAGAUAACGUGACGAACGGGAAUGAAAGGAGAAGAAGGAGCUCGGGCCUCGGGGAGUUUCCCAGCAUGCCGAGCUGUAUUCCCCCACAGAAUGACUAACGAGCAUUGAUCAGAGCUUCGCGUGUCGUUAAAGAAUAGAGCUGAUAAAAGCCGGAGAGGAGAGAAAACUACCGCUUUUAUUAUUAUCUAUUUAUGCAACAAACUGCUUUCACUAAGAGUUAUUUUAUAUUUGGGGGCUUAGAAACAAGAUUUAACACUUUUGACUGCAGAAUAUUUCAAUGGGCUUUUCUCACUGUUUUAUAAUGUUUUUAGUACCAAAUUCUUAAUUGAUUAAAUGACAAAAUAAUAAAUAUACACAAAAUUAUAAAUUAACACAAUUGUUAUAUUAAGCCCUAGUUUCAACACAUAAAAAAAAAUUAUAACACAAUAAAAAUAAAAAAUUAAAAUAUGAAUGAUGAGAAUGUAUAUUUAACUUGUAAAUCAGUCUCGGUUAACCCACAAAAAAAUCAAACAAGGCUUAUUUUGUUAUUAGGAGAAAAAGGUCAAAUGAUACAAUUAAUGUUUAAAUAUUUACAUGUUUAAAAAAAUGGACAAACAAAUUUGGUGUCUAUGCAGCGAUUCAGAUUUUUCUCUUUUUUUUUGUUUUACUUAUAUAAACAGUAAACUUGCGAACAUAAACAACAUAAAGACGAGACAGAGUCAGUCCAGUGUUUCCCUGUAAUAAAUCUGCGCUGAACUCUUUAAUAAUGCGUCUCCGGCUGACAGCCUCCUGCAGCUCACAGAUCCAGACUGUGAUAACGUCUGCACAACAAGACACGAUACCAUCGCACCAUCCGCCUCGUUCUCCCACUGCUUCCUGCUGCAAGAGCCAAGCUGGACUCAGCAUCACAGUCUGCGUCUGUACACCUCUCUGUCUAUCUAUCGAUGUAUAAAUGUAUGUAUAACUUAGAAAGUGUUUAUAUCUCAAGAAUGCACUUUAAAAUAAAUCACUGGGUCAGGAUCUCUGAAUUAAAUAUUCAUAAUGAAACAAUUUACAGCACAUUAACCUCUACAGUGCGAGUAUUUAACUAUUUAACUAUUUAUUUAAAAGCAUUCUGUCUAAUGUCCAGCAGGGGGCGACUCUACUGGCUGCAAAAAGAAGUCUGUUUGUAUAGAAGUCAAUAGAAAUAUGAGCCGACUUCUCUCUUGAUUUCUGACCUCAGUAAACAUUCUCAUAAUGACUUUAUGGUCUCAGUCGUUAGUUUCAGGUCUUCUUCAGUACAGCGUGAUGUUUAUUUAGUCAAUUGUUAUUCUAAAUAAUAUAAUAAAUAAAAUAUAAAUAAUAUAAAAUAUUUUAAAUGAUUUAAAACGACAUACAAUUAAAUAUAAAAAAAUGUAAUUAAUUAAAACCUAGCUUGAGACUUGAAUAUGAUAAUUAUGUUUAAAAAAAAUAACAGUAAUAAAUAAUAUAUAAAUAUUACAAAAAAAUUAAGAAAAAAAUAAGAAGAAAACAAUAGAUCUAGCAUUUGACUUAAAUAUGAAUAAUAUAAAAA